AUUGAACGCUGGCGGCAUGCUUUACACAUGCAAGUCGAGCGGCAGCGCGGGGGCAACCCUGGCGGCGAGCGGCGAACGGGUGAGUAAUGCAUCGGAACGUAUCCUCGAGUGGGGGAUAACCCAGCGAAAGUUGGGCUAAUACCGCAUGAGCUCUGAGGAGGAAAGCGGGGGACCUGCGAGGGCCUCGCGCUGGAGGAGCGGCCGAUGUCCGAUUAGCUAGUUGGUGGGGUAAAGGCUUACCAAGGCGACGAUCGGUAGCUGGUCUGAGAGGAUGAUCAGCCACACUGGGACUGAGACACGGCCCAGACUCCUACGGGAGGCGGCAGUGGGGAAUUUUGGACAAUGGGGGCAACCCUGAUCCAGCCAUGCCGCGUGAGUGAAGAAGGCCUUCGGGUUGUAAAGCUCUUUCGGACGGAACGAAAUGGGCGGGACUAAUACUCCUGUCUGAUGACGGUACCGUAAGAAGAAGCACCGGCUAACUACGUG
rnacentral:rRNA from 1 species